rnacentral:lncRNA from 1 species
UAUUGUCAGCCACAAACAGAAACAUUACUUCGAUGAACAGUAAAUAACAAUUCCAUCUUUUAACAGGGAGACAAAGCAUUACUUGUUGUCGCCGCCAAAUAGGUAGUCGAGAAAAGAUCCACCACUGGGGAUAGCAUGGACUUUAGUAGAAAGUCAAUCCGUGAGAAAGCUUCCAGUGUUCUGGCCAGCCUCAUCUAUCUCACUAUCACCCAUCCAGAUAUUUCGUCAGCAAAUUUAUGGAUGCUCCUCAUUAUCUUCAUUUCGUGGAAGUCCGACGCAUUAUUCGCUAUCUCAUUAUAAAUCCUCAUCGUGGUUUUUUUUUUUCCCUCGUGGGAUGCCUCUUGAGCCUACGGCUUAUAGUGUGUUGACUGGAUUGGUUAUCUUGAUUCUCAUCGAUUUACUACUGGUGGUAUAUCUUUCUGGGUAAUGCACUCAUUUCUUGGAAAUGUAUGAAACAAAAUUGUGUUUGUAAGUCCUCCACAAAGAUGAAUACCGUGCUAUGUCCGCUGUAUGUUAUGAGGUUGUGUAGCGCUGUUCUUGGAAAACUUGGUGUUUCCCAAUCACAAAUCAAACCUCUCAAUGGUGACAACACUAGUGCUAUUUAGAUUGCGGCUAAUCUUGUGUAUCAUGAAUGCACUAAACAUAUUGAAAUAGGAGGUCAUUACAUCCGGGACGUUUAUGAUUCUAAGGUCAUCAAUUUUCCACAUAAUUUCACCACUCAACAGAUCACAAAUAUAUUCACCAAAUCUCUGACUCACCCCGUAAUAAUUUUCUCGUGAGCAAAUUGAUGCUUGUGGACUCACCAACAUCAAUUUGAAGGGGUAUUAGAUGGUAGUUUUAUUUACAGCUAGGUAAAUAAUUAGUUUCCUUGUAUCUUUGUAUCCAUAAAUAGCUUUGUAAGGUUCUAUAAUAAAAAGAUUAUAAAUGUGAAAGACAUUCAGAAAAAUUGGCACACGAGUAUCUAAACACUCUAUUGGAAUUUUAUUUUUGGGCUUGACUGAUAUAGAUUUUUUGAUAAUAGAUUUUGUGAAAAGCGAUCUUUUUGCGAAAAUGUGUGGUUAAAAGGUAAGGAAAAGUUACAAUUCACUUGCAAAACUAUAUUAUUGGGAGACUGUGUGGUAGAAAAUGAGUUUUAAAAAAUCUAUACCAAACAGGGGCAUAGUUGGAUCUUGAGCAAGUCCAAUGUAGGUAGCUGACAAAGGAUUCU